GUCGAACGGUAACAUAAAGAAGCUUGCUUCUUUGAUGACGAGUGCCGUACGGGUGAGUAAUGCUUGGGAAUCUGGCUUAUGGAGGGCGAUAACUACGGGAAACUGUAGCUAAUACCGCGUAGAAUCGGGAGAUGAAAGUGUGGGACCUUCGGGCCACAUGCCAUAGGAUGAGCCCAAGUGGGAUUAGGUAGUUGGUGAGGUAAAGGCUCACCAAGCCGACGAUCUCUAGCUGGUCUGAGAGGAUGACCAGCCACACUGGGACUGAGACACGGCCCAGACUCCUACGGGAGGCAGCAGUGGGGAAUAUUGCGCAAUGGGGGCAACCCUGACGCAGCCAUGCCGCGUGAAUGAAGAAGGCCUUCGGGUUGUAAAGUUCUUUCGGUAGCGAGGAAGGCAUUUAGUUUAAUAGACUAGGUGAUUGACGUUAACUACAGAAGAAGCACCGGCUAACUCCGUGCCAGCAGCCGCGGUAAUACGGAGGGUGCGAGCGUUAAUCGGAAUAACUGGGCGUAAAGGGCACGCAGGCGGUGACUUAAGUGAGGUGUGAAAGCCCCGGGCUUAACCUGGGAAUUGCAUUUCAUACUGGGUCGCUAGAGUACUUUAGGGAGGGGUAGAAUUCCACGUGUAGCGGUGAAAUGCGUAGAGAUGUGGAGGAAUACCGA
rnacentral:rRNA from 1 species